AGUGAACGCUGGCGGUAGGCCUAACACAUGCAAGUCGAACGGCAGCACAGUAAGAGCUUGCUCUUACGGGUGGCGAGUGGCGGACGGGUGAGGAAUACAUCGGAAUCUACUUUUUCGUGGGGGAUAACGUAGGGAAACUUACGCUAAUACCGCAUACGACCUACGGGUGAAAGCAGGGGAUCUUCGGACCUUGCGCGAUUGAAUGAGCCGAUGUCGGAUUAGCUAGUUGGCGGGGUAAAGGCCCACCAAGGCGACGACCCGUAGCUGGUCUGAGAGGAUGAUCAGACACACUGGAACUGAGACACGGUCCAGACUCCUACGGGAGGCAGCAGUGGGGAAUAUUGGACAAUGGGCGCAAGCCUGAUCCAGCCAUACCGCGUGGGUGAAGAAGGCCUUCGGGUUGUAAAGCACUUUUGUUGGGAAAGAAAAGCAGCAGGUUAAUACCCCGCUGUUCUGACGGUACCCAAAGAAUAAGCACCGGCUAACUUCGUG
rnacentral:rRNA from 1 species